CCGUUGGCCCGGGACUCCUUACCUUUACACUUCAUGUAUGUGACAAAGAAAAAUAAACCUACUUUAUUAAGCAAAUGUUACUUUGGCUUUUCUGCCUCUUGCAGCCCAAUUCUUUUUUUUUUUUUUUUUAGUUUUAUUUUUUAUUUUUUUUGCAGCCCAAUCCUAACAAAAACACUGUGGAUUCGAGUCUGCGUGUCUUAGCUGCUGGCGCUGCCUCACGCUAUCCCUCCUCAGCUGUGUUCAGGCUACGUCACGGUGGCUUUCGCUUCUCUGACUCAGAUCCUAUUUCCGCAGCCUGCAGGUUUCCUGUCUGACUCCUUGCCUCCGACCUGGGGCCGAGCAUUCUGGAGGGUCCGACGUUACCCCGCCUCCGAGCGGUCUUCUCCAGCCCACAGCCCCAUUGCUCUGCCUUCUCCCUUCACUGCCACACAGCCCUGCCCUCCGAUCCCGCUCCCUGGGACUUCAUCAAAUCGUCUUGCUUCUCAGCCCGAAGCUUCACGAAGACAAGGACCGGGCCUGCUGCGGGCAGCUCUGUCAUCAACCCCUCGAGGCAAGCACCCAGCUCCGUUCCUCGGGACCCCUGAUGCAUCAGAACUCCGUGGUGUUAUCAUUUCCUCUUUGCAGGUGAGGGAGAUCCGUCCCACAGAGGCGGUACGUGCAGCCUUGGGCCUCUGUACUCACUGCAUCACCGCAUCAGCGUCACCCUAACACCUGCCACGUCCGACAGGGACCCAGAGCGGUUGCUGGCCGACUCCCACUCCCAUCGGGGUCUCUGCACGGUUGCCGAGGGCCUGGUGAGCCUCUAAGACUCCAGGGCAUGGAGUCGCCACCCGGUGGCGCAGCGGUUUAGCGCCGUCUUCAGCCCAGGGUGUGAUCCUGGAGACCCGGGAUCGAGUCCCACAUCGGGCUCCCUGCCUGGAGCCUGCUUCUCCCUCUGCCUGGGUCUCUGCCCCCGCCCCAUCUAUCUAUCUCUAUCUCUAUCUCUAUCUCUAUCUCUAUCUCUAUCAUCUCUAUCUCUAUCUCUCAUGAAUAAAUAAAUAAAAUUUUUUAAAAAAAAGGACUCCAGGGCAUGAAUCUCAGAAUGGAAUUCCACAGCGUGUGACACACACUGGGAGACACCCCUGGGGGCGGAUGGUGGUAACUUGAGAGCCUGCGGGCAGACAAGGAGUCCCCCGGUCUUUCUUCGGGUCUCUGAGGACUGCUCGGAACAGGACGCCAAGAGGCAGCUGCCUGGAGGUGACCACGAGGACCUAGUGUGUGUCUCCACUGUGCAGCCUCCGCGAUCUCACGUCAGCUGGGCUCCACCCUGGGCCUUUGUCCCUCUGAAUGUCCAACGCCUCAUCCUUAAAGUACAGAUCGUAGUAUGAACCUCACAGAGCCCUGUGAGGAUCCCGUGGGAUGAGGCACUGGUUGGAACGUUCUGGAUGAACUCUGGUGACAUGUCUGAGCCACACAAGCGCCGUUGAUGGAGCCCCAGCUUCUGUUAGGACCACCUGGCCCUGCACCUCCCCGCCCCCCUUUGGUGUCCCC
rnacentral:lncRNA from 1 species